GCCUUCGUGGUGUAGCAGUCAGCACACUGAGCCGGUAUUUCAGAGGUCCGUGGUUCGAUUCCUGGCGAAGGCG
rnacentral:tRNA from 1 species